UGGGGCACUGCUAAUGAGAGAGGUGAUCCCCGGCUGGGAGUGUGAUACACCCCAAGGGGAUAGGGGCGCGGCCAUUAUUUAUUAGGGAGGCAGCAGGGGAGAUUGUGGACAACGGGCCGAGAGUCUGAUCCAGCAAUUUGGGAUUCAGGAUGAAGUUUUUCGGAAAGUAAAGUCUUUUCAGGGGGAAGAAAGAAAAGACGCUACCAACAGAAGAUGGGACGGCUAAAUUCGUGCCAGCACCCGCGUUAAUACGUAUGUCACGAGCUUUAUCCGUAUUUAUUUGGCAUAAAGCGCGUAUAGGCGGUUAUAUAAGUCUGAUGAGAAAAUGCAGGGUCCACCUCUGUAUUGCUUUGGAAACUGUAUAACUAGAGUCCGGAGAGGUAAGCGGAACUACAAGAGUAGAGGUGAAAUUAGUAGAUAUUUGUAGGAAUCCCGAUGGGGAAGCCAGCUUAAAGGACAGAUACUGACGCUGAAGCGAGAAAGCGUGGGUAGCAAACAGG
rnacentral:rRNA from 1 species